rnacentral:rRNA from 1 species
AAACCAGCACCUCAAGUGGUCAGGAGGAUUAUUGGGCCUAAAGCAUCCGUAGCCUGUUCUAUAAGUUUCCGGUUAAAUCCACUAGCUCAACUAGUGGGCUGCCGAAAAUACUGUAGAACUAGGGAGUGGGAGAGGUAGACGGUAUUCGGUAGGAAGGGGUAAAAUCCUUUGAUCUAUUGAGGACCACCUGUGGCGAAGGCGGUCUACCAGAACACGUUCGACGGUGAGGGAUGAAAGCUGGGGGAGCAAACAGGAUUAGAAACCCGAGUAGUCC